rnacentral:lncRNA from 1 species
UUCACUUCAGUUUUGUUAUGGGAGAAAUAGGUGAAGUCUUUAACAUUCAAUCUAUUGUUAGAAAAUGGAGAAAGGAAAAAUCACUGUCUAUUCAAUUAUCUUUUUUCUGCUUUAAAACUGAAUGAGGAGUUCUGUGACAGAUUUGAAGAAGAAUCUAAAGCAGAUUAGAGAGCUAGCUUUUUUUCCCCUGUAUCUUAAUCCUUAAAUGGAAUUUAGCUCUUAUUUAUUAUUUGUAUUGUCUUUGCUUUAGUAAGGAGGUUGUUUCGCAUUCAGUCACAAAGUACAAUAAGAAGACCCUUUAAAAGAUGCACUGUGCUAGGUGUCUGCUCUGUGUCUCUGGUGUUUGGUAU